GGUGGUAUAGCCAAGCGGUAAGGCGCUGGGCUGUAAAACCUUUAUCCUCGGUUCAAUUCCGAGCACCACCU
rnacentral:tRNA from 1 species